AUGCCCAAGCGCACCAUGGGAGGGAGGGCCGACGCCGGGGCCGAUGACAUGGCGCAAGAAGCAUCCAAGCGCCCGGCGAAGCUGCACAUGGAGAAAUCCCUCCCCGCCGGCGAGGUGUCCAGCCGACAGCAGGGUGGCCUUGACAUCGUCGACCACGUCCAGGCUCCGGUGCAGGUGUCACCUACGCCGGAGCAGGUGGCUCCUCCGCCGGAGGAGGUGACUCAUCUGCCUCCUCUGCCACGCCAUCUGCCUCCUCUGCCGCAGCCCGUGGUCAACGUCGACGGCGACGACGACGAAGAAGAGAAGGAGCAGGUGUCUCCUCUGCCGCGGGUGAGAUCUCCUGUGCUCGAGCCUGUGGUCGUCGGUGAUGUCAACAAAGAAGACGUAGCUGCUCUGGUUUCUCAGACGGAGCAGGUGUCUCCUCUACCACAGGUGACGCCUCCUGUGCCCGAGCCUGUGGUCGUCGGCGAUGUCAACAAAGAAGACGUAGCUCCUCUGGCUCCUCUGCCGGAGCAGGUGGUGGCUGCUCAGCCUCAGUCGGGUGUUCAUCUGCCGUGGUUGCUGCCUCCCCUGCCCCCACCUGUGGUCGUCGCCGACGAGAAUGAAGAAGAGGUUUUCCCUGGUCAGUACAAGGCAAAUAAGGUCCUAAGUGACGAUGUUGACAGUGACCCAGAAACCCAGAGGAUCUUCAGGAGGCAGAAAUUGAGGCAGCUGAACAAUGGUGAGCUCGAGAAAGAUGUGAGGCCUAGAUCCGGAAAGGGCUACGGAUGCCCUUUCUGCAACAAGGUGAUGAAAGGCAACCUGUUGAGUACCAUCAACCAUGCAAUCGGAACAUCCCAAGGCAGCACCAAGAAUGGCUACGCUUUCAGGGUGAAGCACGCCACGUAUGCCGACUACUUGAUUAGGCUUCUUUGA
rnacentral:rRNA from 1 species